rnacentral:rRNA from 1 species
AACGAACGCUGGCGGCAUGCCUAACACAUGCAAGUCGAACGAGACCUUCGGGUCUAGUGGCGCACGGGUGCGUAACGCGUGGGAAUCUGCCCUUGGGUUCGGAAUAACAGUUAGAAAUGACUGCUAAUACCGGAUGAUGACUUCGGUCCAAAGAUUUAUCGCCCAGGGAUGAGCCCGCGUAGGAUUAGCUUGUUGGUGAGGCAAAAGCUCACCAAGGCGACGAUCCUUAGCUGGUCUGAGAGGAUGAUCAGCCACACUGGGACUGAGACACGGCCCAGACUCCUACGGGAGGCAGCAGUGGGGAAUAUUGGACAAUGGGCGAAAGCCUGAUCCAGCAAUGCCGCGUGAGUGAUGAAGGCCUUAGGGCUGUAAAGCUCUUUUACCCGGGAUGAUAAUGACAGUACCGGGAGAAUAAGCCCCGGCUAACUCCGUGCCAGCCGCCGCAGUAAUAC